UGAAUACGAGAUGCUACGGCGUCGAAGCAGUCUAUGUCAUACUUCCAAGAAAAGCUUGCACUGUCAUAAACAAAUAAUGCCUGUACCAUAACCGACACAGGUGGGUAGGUAGAGUAUACUAAGGGGCGCGAGAUAACUCUCUCUAAGGAACUCGGCAAAAUGACUCCGUAACUUCGGGAGAAGGAGUGCCUUAUUUAUAAGGUUGCAAUAACAAGAUCCAAGCAACUGUUUACCAAAAACACAGGUCUCCGCUAAGUCGUAAGACGAUGUAUGGGGGCUGACGCCUGCCCAGUGCCAGAAGGUUAAAGAAGUUGGUUAGCAUCCGCGAAGCUGAUAACUGAAGCCCUGGUGAACGGCGGCCGUAACUAUAACGGUCCUAAGGUAGCGAAAUUCCUUGUCGGGUAAGUUCCGACCCGCACGAAAGGCGUAAUGAUUUGGAUACUGUCUCGGAGAGGGGCUCGGUGAAAUAGACUUGUCUGUGAAGAUGCGGACUACCUGCACCAGGACAGAAAGACCCUAUGAAGCUUUACUGUAACCUGAAAUUGAAAUUGGACUUUACUUGCGCAGUAUAGGUGGGAGGCGUUGAGAAUAUUCUUGCGGGAUUAUUGGAGCCAUCAGUGAGAUACCACUCUUGUAAUGUUAGAUUUCUAACUUUGUAUCAUUAUCUGGUCAAAGAACAGUUUCAGGCGGGCAGUUUGACUGGGGCGGUCGCCUCCUAAACGGUAACGGAGGCGCACAAAGGUUUCCUCUGAACGGGUAGAAAUCGUAUCUAGAGUGUAAAGGCAUAAGGAAGCUUGACUGUGAGACCUACAAGUCGAGCAGGGACGAAAGUCGGUCUUAGUGAUCUGACGGUGCUGAGUGGAAAGGCCGUCACUCAACGGAUAAAAGUUACUCUACUAGGAUAACAGGCUGAUCUCCCCCAAGAGUUCACAUCGACGGGGAGGUUUGGCACCUCGAUGUCGGCUCAUCGCAUCCUGGGGCGGUAGUACGUCCCAAGGGUUGGGCUGUUCGCCCAUGAAAGCGGUACGCGAGCUGGGUUCAGAACGUCGUGAGACAGUUCGGUCCAUAUCCGGUGUAGGCGUUAGAAUAUUGAGAGGAGCCUUCUUUAGUACGAGAGGACCGAGAAGGACAUACCUCUGGUGUACCAGUUAUCGUGCCAACGGUAAACGCUGGGUAGCUAUGUGUGGAGUGGAUAACCGCUGAAAGCAUCUAAGUGGGAAGCCCACCUCAAGAUAAGUAUUCUCAU
rnacentral:rRNA from 1 species